rnacentral:rRNA from 1 species
AGGACGACGCUGGCGGCGUGCUUAACACAUGCAAGUCGAACGGGAGUAUUGAAGAAGCUUGCUUUAGAGAUACUUUAGUGGCGGACGGGUGAGUAACGCGUGAGGAGCUGUCCUAUGCAGGGGGACAACAGCUGGAAACGGCUGCUAAUACCCCAUAAGCCGAGAGGUAAAAGGAUCAAUCCGGCAGAGGAGGUACUCGCGUCCUAUCAGCUAGUAGGUGAGGUAACGGCUCACCUAGGCGAAGACGGGUAGCCGGCCUGAGAGGGCGAACGGCCACACUGGAACUGAGAUACGGUCCAGACUCCUACGGGAGGCAGCAGUGGGGAAUAUUGGGCAAUGGGGGAAACCCUGACCCAGCGACGCCGCGUGGGUGAAGAAAUCCUUCGGGAUGUAAAGCCCUGUUGUAUGGGAAGAGCGGAAGACGGUACCAUACGAGGAAGCCCCGGCAAACUACGUGCCAGCAGCCGC